UCGUGAAUAGCUAGGGCCAGAAGAAUCGAAUUCCCAAGCCGAGGGCCGCGGGUUCGAAUCCCGUCUUCCGCUCCA
rnacentral:tRNA from 1 species